UUUUGCCCCUAAAUUGUUAGUAUUAAUUUUCUAAAGAAUGUGCAUUUUCUGGCUAAUAAUAUUAAUUUUCUAAAGAAUUAAUAUUAUUAAUAUCAUAUAUCUGCACAUUUGUAGAAUUUUAAGUAGACAUAAGCCAUUUCAAGUUUCCUUUUUGAUUUUUUAUGUUCAUUUUCAGAUUUGAUAAAGUAUAUCUAGAGAUUUUGGAAACCCAAUUCUGUUCCGG
rnacentral:lncRNA from 1 species